CGUCCGCCUGCCUGGCCGCCCCAGCUCCGUCUGGGGCCUACCCGGGUCCGGGCUGUGUGCGCCUCCGCCGCUAGGCUGGGCUGGGCUGACCGCGGGCGGCGGGCGCUGCCCGGCGACGAGCUGCAGCCCCGAGGGUCUCUGGCCCUCGGGCGCAUUUCUGUCCGGCCGACCUGGGAAGCGGGCUUCGGGCCCAGACCCCGAGGAGAGGCUGCGGGCUGCCUGGGGACAUGUGUUUGUAUUUCUUUUUAAACCAGCAGCUCGGAAGGGAGAGGCGGCAGCCCUCCGGUCGUCGUCGCGUGUUGCCAGGCCGGGUGACUCGCGGUCGGGAGAGGGCGUGGGCGCGGUAGGCGGCCGGACUUCGCUGCUGUGCUCCAAGGCAGGCUCCUCCGGAACCAUCUCUUUGAAGACUCCGCGCCCGCCAGCUUGGGUGUCCGGCGGGACCCGAGCAAAGUUUGUUCCAGGACCUUGCCUCACCCUGAAUGCGCUGCUUGGAAAACUGUUGGAGGGUGUCCGUGGUAGCGUGGUUUGGUGGAAAUGAACUAUGCUUUGGAGUCAAGACAGAUCUGCCAUCGGAUUCUGGUUCUGAUAGUCUCUCUGUAACCUUGGACCAGUUAUUUAACCUUGCUGAGCCUCCGUUUCUUUGUCCUAUGUUUGCUUUUCCUUAUUUUAAUUUACUCUUUUAUAUUUGAAAUUGUUCUGGGCUUUUUGGUUUGUGUGUGUAUCAUAUAGGAGUCUGUCCCUAGGCGAAAGCUGUUCUUAAUCCUGUACACCCCGUUACUAGCUCUGUGACCUGGGGCAACGCAUGACAGCUUUCCUAGGCCUUGAUUUCCCCAUCUUUAAAAUCAGCCAGAUUACAGAUGGUAAUAUGGCUAAUAAUGAUCAUAACAGUUGGAAUUUGGAGGAUUUAGUGCUAAAAUGUGUAUAAAAUAUCUAGCACAGGACACAGUAUAGAUAGUGUUACCAUAUUUAAUUAAAUCAACUUUCAAACAUAUUAAAAAGCUUGUUUUAAAGUCAAGAAAUAAGUAUUGAGUCACUCAGAUCUACCCAAGCACUCUAUUUGGUAGUAACUAGUGAUAAACUAGCUGUCAGCCAAAUAAGGUUUAAACAAACGGGAUUUAAACUGGACUUUGUCACCAGAAAUAUUUCCAUUGCACUCGUGGAGCUUUUGCCUAAAUUAAGUCCAGCACAGCUGUUGAAGAAAGAGUUCCAUCCAGGCUAUCAUUGGGGUUUGGUAAGUGGAGAGAACCCGGCUUCUGACAAGUCUAGCUAACACUUAUUGAACAUGUGCCUUUCUAAGCACUUUACAGUAUUGGCGUGUGUGAUCUUGGGUACCAACACUAAGGAGCUUCUGGGUCUUGGGCUAUAAAAGUGAGGACAACCACACCCUACAGUUUUGUGAUGAAUAAUUGAUGUCUGUAAAUAUAUUAAGGUACAGACAUUAAGGCAUUGUCAAUAGUAUACACGGCUGGAGCAGGUAAGAGAAGCAACAAAAAUAACUGGACUCCAGGAAGGAAUAAGAGUAAGUAUAGAGGUUUAGUUUGUUUCAGUUUGGGGAGUUGUUAGCUUAUUCUGUUAAGGAGAGCAAACAGAAAAAGUGUCUAAACCUCAAGAGAAUCUCAGAUCUUUGACACUUAUUUCACUGUUUGCAAUCAGUCAAAAGUAAGAAAAUGAAAAUGACUAAACAUUUUUCUUCUUUGUAUAAGCGUGAGAAGGAAUAUUAUAGUUAUCUGGUGUUUUCAUGGCUGAAGGAAACAUUUCCUCAAUUCGGUUAGAGGUCAGGCCCUUCGCUUUAAAACAACCUUCUGCUUGCUGUUCUGUGGUAUGGGAGAUGUCAUUUCCAGAAAGAUUAAGUGCUUGUACCAAAUUGUCCAUCAGAUGAUUUCUGGUCUUCAGAAAUGGUUCCUCCAGUCCUUUCCUUUCCCUGUACCUCUGAGUUCUUCCAUUGUCCUUACCUCACUAACCCAUCUUUCAUAUUGUGGCCCAACUAUGUUCUGUAAAACAAGCUAAUGAGUGUAAACACUGGCGAAAUCUGAAUAAGGUCUGUAGCCUAGUUAAUUGCAUUGUGCUAAUGUCAGCUUCCUGGCUUUGAUAGUUUUCUAUAGUUUUGUAAAAUGCUACUAUCAUCGGAGGGAGCUGGGUGAGUGUACAUGGGCCCUCUCUGCAACUUCCUGUGAGUGCAUUAUUAUUUCAGAGUAAAAAAUUAUGGAGACAGAAA